UACGGAGGGUGCAAGCGUUAUCCGGAUUCACUGGGUUUAAAGGGUGCGUAGGUGGGUUGGUAAGUCAGUGGUGAAAUCCCCGAGCUUAACUUGGGAACUGCCAUUGAUACUAUCAGUCUUGAAUACCGUGGAGGUCAGCGGAAUAUGUCAUGUAGCGGUGAAAUGCUUAGAUAUGACAUAGAACACCAAAUUGCGAAGGCAGCUGGCUACUCGGAUAUUGACACUGAGGCACGAAAGCGUGGGGAUCAAACAGG
rnacentral:rRNA from 1 species